AAUUUACUAUAAUAUAUAAUAUAUUAUGUCUACGUAAUUUACUUUAUUCAAUUUAUAAUAUUAAUAAGGCUUGGAAUUAAACCUUGGAAUAGUACUAUUCCACCAAAAGGGUGGAAUAGUUUAUCCUAAGCUAUUCCAGGAUAAUCGGGAAUAACUAGGUUUGAUCAUGAUAUUUCAUCACGCCCAAAAAAUGCCCCGUUUGGCUGAAUAGUAGGGAUUUCUUUCGUUAUCCCUGCUUUAUCCCCAAACCAAAUAGGGCCUUAAGCUUUAGAUGGAUACCACAAGAGUUGGAACCAAACUUAAUUAGAAAGCCUGUCAAAUUCUAAAUGAAUUUUAAGUUGAAAUUGAAAAUGAACUUACAGAACAUGUGUUAGUUUCACUUGAGAGAUUGAUUAGUUAUGUUGUUGGAUCUUUUUCUUUUGGUCUCAGUUUGACACUCAUUUUCUGCCUUUCUUUUUUCUCCUCUUUGCACAAGUCCUUUCUCUUCUGAAUGAAGAAGAUAUUUUAUCUUAUUUUUAACUUUUUUCUAUUGAGGUCUCUGAAUUCAGUGAAGUAUGGACUGGUGGCUUAUUAAUCAGUUUGCUUUUAGCUGGAUUUUCUUGCUAAAAUAAGUACCAAAGCAGUAGCAUUUGGUUCUAGCUAAGGGUAUGUUUGGUUCCCCGUAAAACUACUCGGAAAUUUUUUUUUCGCUUGAAAAGUAGUUUUGCGUUGUUUGGUUGCUCGUAAAAAAAUUUUUUGGAAAAAAAGUUUUACGUAUUCUUCGAAAAAGAAUGAGUUUUCGUUUUCCGCCCACCGUCGGCGUAAAAUGAAAACCUCUAUCAAAAGACACGGCUCAUAGCCGCUCACAAAAAAUGCGGUCGUUUUACUAAAGAUUUAGAAAGAUAAUAAAUUUUCCAACAUUCUAGAAGCGGGAUUAAUUUUAUCUUUCUAUUUCUUGUAGUACAGUAAUAUUACUUUGCUAUAGAACAAUAUAUAUCUUGUGAUAUUGCUAUAAUCCUGAACAUAUAUACAACUAUUAUUCUUGCACUGAUAAUUAAUAUUACAAUAUUUUAUUGCUGCUAUAUAUUUAUCUUUCAGUAUCUACACUAAACAUAAUUUAGAACUCUUUACUGUUAUUUCUGUAAACCUUGGAAUAGUCUUGUGACAUUAUAUUAGGAUUACUUAUAAAUAGAUUUUUCAUAAUGGAGGACUCGUAUUCGGCGAAACCUUUUACUUUUGAUGGUCGAAACUUUAAAAGGUGACAGAACCAAAUGAGGUUCUGGCUCACCACACUUGGGCUUGUAUCUGCUAUCUCGGAUCCUGUCGAGAAUAGCAAUGGAUCUGCACCUGAAGGUGCAAUCCAGACUGCGGUCAACAGACCGUAUACUCGGAGCCGAGCCCAAGCCGGAUCCACUCCUGCUUCUGAAACUGCAACUACACCUACACCUACAACUGUACCCCCUGUGGACCCUAACAUGAUAAACUAUCAUUGCUUGAACCGGAUUUUUAGUACCCUAUCUGAUAAACUGUAUGGCAUAUACUGUAGUGCUAAAACAGCUAGAAAAUUUUGGACAUUCUUAGAGAACAAGUAUGGUUAGGUUGAUCCUACCCAGAAGAGAUACCAAGCUUCAGAUUUAAUUAAGUUUAAAUUGGUGGAUAAUAAGUCUAUGUCAGACCAGCUUCAUGAUUUUGAGUAUAUAAUUAAGCAGCUUAGAUCUAGUUGUGUAGAUCUUGAUGAGAGCUUUUUAGUAGCUACCCUUAUAGAUAAGUUGCCACUCUCUUGGUCGAACCAUGCAAAUGAUCUUAACCAUAAUCAAAGAGAGCUUUUCCUGAAUUAUGUCCUAAUAUCUAUUAGGAUAGAAGAGUCGAACGGAGCUAAGGAUAAGAAGCCUAGUGAAUCCACAACCCAAGCCAACCUAGUAGAGAAUUCUAAAAAUAAGGGUAAAAAGUUUCAGCCUCAUAGAAACUUUAAGAAGCCUUUCCAUCAUAGAAAGUUCAACACAAACUUUAAGAAGCCUAAAUCUGAGGGGAGUGGAGGCAACUCUGGUUGCUUUGUGUGCGGGAAAACCAACCUGUUGGAAAAAUUAUUAUCUUUCUAAACCUUUAGUAAAACAUCCUUUUAAAACAAUUUUUGCAUGAAAACAAUUUAACGGUAGUUUUGAAAACUGCAAGUAAAAAUUAAACAAUUAAUACUACAGAGAUUAAAAGAUCAGAUGAGGCCUGUGAGUCGAGGCGUGCGACAGCACUGUCCUAGAAGCGAGAUUGCCCCUCCACGUGCGAGGUUCCGGCAAUCACUUCUAGCGAUACAACGACCACUAUCCACCCUGUCGGCACGUCUUCAGGGUGGCGCAACAUGAACCCAAUAAGCUUUCAGAGAUCCCGCAAAAAUGACAAUACAAAGUGUAUAAUAGAUGUAAAUAUCAAUGUGAGAAGGUGAGGAAGAAGAGAAUUUUUGUGCAAGCUCGGGUUAAGGCUUCUUGUCCAUGAAUGCACCUUCACCUUUACCUUCACCUCCACCUUCACCUUCACCUCUAUAUAUAGGAGAGGUUUUAGAAUAGUCCAACAGGAAGGGUCCAAAGAGAAAAUCUUGAUCAAGAUCUAGCUCCUUCCCGAGGUUGGACCAAGAUAUGGUUCCAUCCCGAGGUUUGGACCAAAGCUAGACAAGAUUCAUAUUUGAUCUCGUAUGGGUCCUUUCUAAGGUAAGGCCAUCAUUUGAUUAAAUAAUAAUAUUAAAAUUCAAUAAAAUAAAAAGAAAAGGGUGUAAAUGAACCGGGUUCACGCGCACCGCCCGCUCGACUCGGCCCGGCUCGGCUCGUGCUCGUGCCGUGUGUGCAUGUGUUUAGUCGAGAGCUUUACUCAAAUGUUCUCCCAAGCAAUUAAGUUGAGAGUGAGAUAGUAUAUAAGAUGAAGUAGAAUGCCUUUACUUUCUAAUGUGGGACUAAACUCCACAAGUGAAAACCAAGGCACGGGCUCCCAGGCUUAAGGUGAAGUAGAAUGCCUUUACUUUCCAAUGUGGCACUUGAAAUUUGAUUCUUUAGUUGUGUCAAAUGGUUUUUAUGUGAACAUGUCUGAUGAAUGUGUAUAUUCAAAGGAAUAUAAUGGGCAGAUUGUAAUCUUAUGUUUAUAUGUUGAUGAUAUUUUAAUUUUUGGUACCAAUAUGAAUGUAAUAUAUGAUGUGAAGAAAUUACUUAAUAAGAAUUUUGAUAUGAAAGAUCUUGGGUAAGUAGAUGUAAUUCUCAACAUGAAGAUCAUUAGAAAAUCAAAAGAAAUUGUUAUGAGCCAAUCACACUAUAGUCAACAGUUAUUGAAGAAGUUUGGAUAUUUUGAUGUUAAACCUGUAGUGACACCUUAUGAUUCUAGUGUACACCUUAAGAAGAAUAGAGGUGAUCCAAUCGGUCAGAAUAGAUAUGCACAGAUUAUAGGAUCUCUAGGAUACCUAGUAGACUAUACUAGACCUGAUUUGGCUUAUGCAGAUUGAGAGGAUAUACCCAUAAUCCAAAUAGAGAGCAUUGGAAUGCUUUAGAAAGAGUUUUGAAAAACCUGAAGGGAAUUGUGUCUUAUGGAUUAUAUUACAGUGGCUUUCUUGCAGUAUUAGAAGGAUAUAGUGAUGCCAAUUUGAUUAGUGAUACAGCUGAUGUAAAGUCGACUACCAUAUUUGCUUUUCUCCUAGCAGGACCAGCUGUUUCUUGGAAGUCAACCAAACAAUCUUUGAUCGCCAGAAGUACCAUGGAAUCUGAACUUAUAGCAUUAGAUAUCACUGUAGCAGAGGCUAAAUGGAUUAGAGAGUUUCUUUAUGAUCUGCCACUGAUGGAGCGACUUUUAGCACCUGUGUGUAUUCAUUGUUAUUGUAGAUCUGCAAUUGAUAAAUGUGCCCAAGAGAAUGUGGUGACUAAGAUGAAUAGAUUCAUGAAAGUGAGACAUAAGUUCAUUCGACAGAAUAUGAAGGAAAAUGUAAUUGCUUUAGAAUUUGUGAGAUCUGCGAAGAACUUGGCUGAUCAGUUUGCCAAGGGAUUAUCUAGGACUGAUCUUAGAAUUGUCGAGGGAGAUGGGGCUUAGCCCACAAUAGUAGUUACUGGCGACGGCAAUCCAACUUGUUGCAGGUUCAAUGGGUAGAAACAAGUCGAAUAGGUAGCUAUGAGGAGCACUGCUUUUUGUAUCUUAAUCCCUAUGACGACAGUGCUCAUAUCUGCAAGUGGAUAGGAAGGACAUUGGCCCUGAAUGGUUCUGAGACCCAUGAGACAGGAUGUCACCUUGCAGACAUCCUUCUGAGGACAUUCUAUGGGUCUUGCCUGGGAGCCCGUGCCUUGAUUUCCACAUGUGGAGUUUAGUCCCACAUUGAAAAGUAAAGGCAUUUUACUUCAUCUUAUAUACUCUCUCACUCUCAACUUAAUUACUUGAAAAAACAUGAGAAAAGCUUUCGACUAAAUACACGCACGAGCACGAGCACGAGCCGGGCCGAGUCGGUCGGGCGGGCGGCGGUGUGCUCGAACCCGGUUCAUUUACACCAUUUUUUUAUUUUAUUGGAUUUUAAUAUUAUUAUUUAAUCAAAUGAUGGCCUUAUCUUGGGAAGGACCCAUAUGAGAUGAAAUCUGGAUCUUGUCCAGAUUUGGUCCAACAUCGGGAUGAAAUCAUAUCUUGAUCCAACAUCGGGAAGGAAUUAGAUUUUGGUCAAGAUUUUCUCUUUGGACUUUUCCUGUUGGACUAUUCUAAAAUCUCUCCUAUAUAUAGAGGUGAAGGUGAGCAUUCAUGGACGAGAAGCCUUAACCCGAGCUUGCACAAAAAUCCUCUUCUUUCUCACCUUCUCACAUUGACUUUUAUAUCUAUUAUACACUUUGCAUUGCCAUUUUUGCUGGAUCUCUGAAAGCUUAUUGAGUUCGUGUUGCGUCAUUCUGAAAACGUGCCGACAGGGUGGACAGUGGUCGUUGUAUCGCUAGGAGUUAUUGCCGGAGCCUCGCACGUAGAGGGGCAAUCUCGCUUCUAGGACAAUGCUUUCGCACGCCUCGACUCACAGGCCUCAUUUGAUCUCUUAAUCUAUGUAGUAUUAACUGUUUAAUUUUUACUUGCGGUUUCAAAACUACAGUUAAAUUGUUUUCAUGCAAAAAUUGUUUUAAAAGGAUAUUUUACUAAAGAUUUAAAAAGAUAAUAAUUUUUCCAACAUUCCAGAAGCGAGAUUAAUUUUAUCUUUCUAUUUCUUGUAGUACAGUAAUAUUACUUUGCUAUAGAACAAUAUAUAUCCUGUGAUACUGUUCUAUAGCAAAGUAAUAUUACUGUACUACAAGAAAUAGAAAGAUAAAAUUAAUCUCGCUUCUAGAAUGUUGGUUCUAGCUAAGGGUAUGUUUGGUUCCCCGUAAAACUACUCGGAAAAUUUUUUUUCGCUUGAAAAGUAGUUUUGCGUUGUUUGGUUGCUCGUAAAAGAUUUUUUUGGAAAAUUUUUUUUACGUAUUCUUCGAAAAAGAAUGAGUUUUCGUUUUCCGCCCACCAUCGGUGUAAAAUGAAAACCUCUAUCAAAAGACACGGCUCACAGCCGCUCACAAAAAAUGCGGUCCACGCGAAAGGUUGGUUCUCGUGGACCGCGUGAGUGGUCCAAUGUGGACCACUCAUCCACUCCCUCUCUCUCUUAUAUAUAUAUAUAUAUAUUUGAAAAGGGUG
rnacentral:lncRNA from 1 species